rnacentral:rRNA from 1 species
GAUGAACGCUGGCGGCGUGCCUAAUACAUGCAAGUCGAGCGAACCGACGAGGAGCUUGCUCCUCUGACUUUAGCGGCGGACGGGUGAGUAACACGUGGAUAACAUACCUAUACGACUGGGAUAACUUCGGGAAACAGGAGCUACUACCGGAUAAUAUAUUGAACCGCGUGGUUCCAUCGUGAAAGUAGAUUUUGCUGUCGCUUAUAGAUGGGUGAGCGCCGGAUUAGCUAGUUGGUAGGGUAACGGCUUACCAAGGGGAAGAUCCGUAGCCGGCCUGAGAGGAUGAGCAGCCAAACUGGAAGUGAGACACGGGCGGGACUCCUACGGGAGGGGGCAGUGGGGAAUAUUGGACAAUGGGCGAAAGCAUGAACCAGCAAUGCCGCGUGAGUGAUGAAGGCUUUAGGAUAGUAAAGGUCUUUUAACCGGGAUGCUAAUGACAGUACCGGGAGAAUAAGCUCCGGCUAACUCCGUG